AAAAAAAAAAAAAAAUGGUUCGGUUAUUCACCGUGUGCUCAUCCACAAAUGGUCCGCAGUCUCGUUUCACUAAGAUGAGACUGGGAAUGGUGAGCCCAGUUCUCUGAAAUCCUUUUCUUCCCUCCGAAAUCUCUCACCAAUCCUCUAAUGUGUCUCUUUCUCAUCUUCUUCUUCAUUUCCGGGACGAUCUUAUACCUCAUGGGCUCCUGAUCUGCCCAAUAGUGCCAGUGUUGAGGCCUAUUAUCUCUCUUGCUGCAUGCCUGAUAGGCGUCUUAGGAUAGCUUUUCUUCUCAGCGGCGGCGUCGAUAGUAGUGUCGCUCUCCACCUCUUGCAUGCCGCUGGCCACUAGUGCACAGCCUUCUACCUCAAAAUCCGGUUCCAAGUGCUGUCCCUCUCUCCGCAUUGUUGCUAUUCUUUGAAAUUCCGGCUCUUUGUCUAAGAAAAAUUAGGGAGUGGUAAAGUGAAAGUAAGACCAGCCGUGGCCUAUGAGACGCAAAGUAUAAAACUUGAAUUAGUGCCCCUAGUAGUUUAUAGGGAACAUUAGGUGCUUUUAUUUUUAUUUUAUUUCUUCUUUAUUCACCAGUAUGAGCGAAUUGUUUUCUGUAGGAGGAUUGUGAGAACUUUUGGUCAGAAUGCUCAUGGGAGGAAGAUUUGAAGUCUAGGAUCAAACUUAUUUUCUUUCACAUCUGCCUCAGACCCAGUUAAAACAACUUAUUUUCCCACUUGGUGAUAUUCCAAAGGAUGAAGCUCACAAACUUGCUACACAAUUUUACCUAAUAGAGACAGAGGAUUCCAAGGACUAUGCUUUCCAGGAGAGGUAUGUUGUUGAGAAGAAGGUUAAGAACAAUGUAGUGUUUGUGUCAAGAAAUUAUUUCUCAUUUGACAAAAGGAGUUAUUCUGUGUUCGCUCCAUGAAAUGGUUUAGUUGGUUGCCUCCUAAGAACAUGCACAUGCUCCAGUGCAACCUGUUUGCGUGAACAAUGUUAUCAAUAUUUGCCUCCAUGCAUCCUUAAUCUCUUUCGCUGUUAUUAGAAUCUUACAUUCUCGUUUCCAUUCAGAUGAUUCAAUUUGAUUCUCCAUCCUAAUGAUUCAAACUAUAGGGUGAAUCUUAAAUGUACUUGAAUCAUAAUCAAAUCUUAUGAUUCUGUAGAACCUAUCAUUUUAGUUGAUUGUUUUUCUAGAGGGUUGUCAUACUUA